UAUGAUUACUCUCAUAAAAACCUAAGUGGUAUUGCAUUAAACAUCUGGUUUUAUAGAUUGCCUUUCUCAGUUAAAAAUAUGUUGGACAUUCAGGUUGUAUUCCGUGCCAUAUGCAGGUAUAUGUGAAUGAGUUUCUGUAGGUUACAUUUAUAGAAAUAGAAUUGCUAAAUCAAAGAAUAUUCACAUUUAAAAUUGUAAAACAUGAAUAAGGUGAUACACUGCCUUCCAGAAGAAUACCAUAUUCAUGUUUUACAGUUUUCUGGUGGAUCCAAUGCAGUCUGGGCCCUUCCUUUUAGGUUGCACUCCAGGACUUGCAGACGAACUCCAAGAUUGGGGCGCUCCUGCCUUACUUUGUUUAUGUGGUUAGUGGGGUGAAAUCUGUAAGUCAUGACCUGGAGCAACUGCACCGGCUGCUGCAGGUGGCACGGAGCCUGUUUCGGAAUCCACACCUGUGCUUGGGGCCCUAUGUCCGCUGUCUGGUGGGCAGUGUCCUCUACUGUGUCCUGGAGCCACUGGCUGCCUCCAUCAACCCCCUGAAUGACCACUGGACUCUGCGGGAUGGCGCUGCCCUCCUGCUCAGCCACAUCUUUUGGACGCAUGGGGACCUUGUAAGUGGCCUCUAUCAGCAUAUCCUGCUGUCCCUGCAGAAGAUCCUGGCAGAUCCUGUGCGGCCGCUCUGCUGUCACUAUGGAGCCGUGGUGGGGCUGCAUGCUCUUGGCUGGAAGGUGAGCACCCUGGCUUUUCUCACAGACAGAGCCGUAAGAACUCCCAUUUGUGUUAGAAAAAUAGUACUUGUGUGUCUUUAUCUCCAAAAUGGUGUGUGCCUGCCACUGCAAUGUAUUGAGUUCUGGCCUUAGGCCAGCCUCAGUGAUAGCUUGACUUUCUGUGUGUAAAUGUCUUAUCCUUUCGAAAGUCCUGUGUGACAGAUACUGAUGUCCCCCCAUUUUAUAA